AAGCAGACAUUCGGAAAUUCAUUUCCGUAUGGUCGCUUAGUUAGCAUCGAAAUGCUAACAUCAUUAGCUGAAGAUUGAGUGCUAAGUAUCGGAUAGUGGCGAACGGGUGAGUAACGCGUAGACAACCUACCUUCUAGAUGGGGACAACACUGCGAAAGUGGUGCUAAUACCGAAUGUUGUAUCGAGAAUGCAUAUUGUUGAUACUAAAGGUGGCCUCUGAACAUGCUAUCACUAGAAGAUGGGUCUGCGUCUGAUUAGCUAGUUGGUGAGGUAAUGGCUCACCAAGGCGACGAUCAGUAGCCGGUCUGAGAGGAUGAACGGCCACACUGGGACUGAGACACGGCCCAGACUCCUACGGGAGGCAGCAGUGGGGUAUCUUCCGCAAUGGACGAAAGUCUGACGGAGCAACGCCGCGUGUAUGAUGAAGGUCUUCGGAUUGU
rnacentral:rRNA from 1 species